CGGGAGCAGCCGGCCGCCCACCACCCUCCCGGUCCGCCCUUCCAGCCCCGCGCGGCCCUUUCGCCGGGGCGGCGGGGCUUCCUAAGCCCGGGGACGGGGCGGGGAAGCAAGAGAGGCCAGGUCACUCCCUGCAGCCGCCAGUCAUCAUUACAAACUAAAGUGUCGCGGCCAAAGCCACUUUCAGCUACCACCAAAGUUCAAACACUUACCGUUCAAAGGAACAGAGAGCCUCCAGCGCUGAAAACCCCCCGAGGAAAAAACAGCCCCAAAUGACAGGGCCAGUUCUUGCAUAUAGAUGCCCUAGGAAAAAAGCCUCGAAAUAAGCUGGGAGGACACUCUCCACCCACCCUGUUCUUGUUUCAAAUGUUUCCUCUCAAGCAAGACCUACUCAAGAAUUGGCUGGUGUGACUAUGCCCGCGAGGGUUGAUUUCAUGUGUCAACGUAACUGGACUCUGGACGCCCAGAGAGCUGAUACCAGCGCUCUUGAUUCUCGGGCCUUUGGAUUCACACUGAAUUACACCACUGGCUCUCCUGGGUCUCCAGCUUGCAGACAGUACAUCGUGGGACUCCUUGGCCUCUAUCAUCAUGCGCUGUGAGACAUGCAGCAUCCAAAGUGCCGUGCAGUUUCCAGAAUGAAGACCUAGCAACCACAGCGCAACGCACAGCAGUCAGCUCCAGUUCUCCAAGCUUGAAAUUGGGUUGGGUGAAGCCAAAGGGUGAGGCCCUAAUUCAAAAGGGCGAUGGCCUUUUAAGAAGAGGAAGCCAUGUGAGCCAUGCCUGCUCUGUGUGGACACAGCAAGAAGACGUGCUCUGACAUCCAGGAAGAGGCUUUCACUGGAACCCGAACAUGCUGGCACCAUGGAUCUCCAGCCUCCAGAACUACUUCUACUUCAUCUGAGAACAACCAGAAAAGCCAAAUCAAAUCAUCAUCAUCAUCAUCACCCACUUAAAGGCAUUCAGAGAGCUGCUGAAGCAACCAGAACUAGAGGGACCAAGAUUCUGGAACGAUGUUGAGAGCGAGAGAGCACAAACCAAGAAGAGCUUCAUAGUCCAAAAGACUGAAGACAUAGAGAACUCACUUGAGCUCCUCAUCGACAGAGGGAUUUUGAAAAUGCUAAUUCAGCUCUGUAUGAACUGUAAAACCUCAUGGCCCAAUAUCUAAAAAAAAAAAAAAGUUUGUCAUCAUUGCCUGUCAUUCUCUUUACUUCUCAAGUGGCUUCCUUUAAGGGACGCAUUGUAUCAUGUGUUCUGAGUCACUCUGCUCCAUAAACCAGUUGCCUGGCAUGGAGCUCUGCUUACCUGGAGAAAGAGGAGCCUUUUGCUGAUUAUCCUAAAUACAUCCUUUGAGCAAUGUGUGUUGGGAGUACCAGUAUCAGGAAGAUAGAGCCUCGCUGGGAUGACAUUUGAGUCGACACCAACUGACAAGGAACCAACCAGGAGAGAAUUCGAGGGAGAUGUGGUCUGGGCAGAGGGGUUAUAGAGAGCAGAGAACUCUGAGGCAAGAACAUGUUUGGUGAUUUGGUCAGGGGUGGGCAGACUUUUCUGGAAAGGGCCAGAUAGCACAUAUUUUAGGCUUUACAAGUCACACCGUGCCUGUUGCAACUACUCACUUCUGCUGUUACAACACAGCAGUAAACGCGGAGAUAGAACA